AAACUCACCGAAUCAUCUCUAAUUCUUUUUCUGUUGUGCUCUUUUCUGAAGUUUCGAGAGCAUCAAUUCUGAUUACUUUCCAGAAAAUCAAAGAGCCCAAGCCAAAAAGGAAAAGAGAGAAGCCGAAGCAAAUGAGGAUAGAGAUCAUUUUCUGCGGUCUUUUGGUGAUUUUUUUUAAUCGGUGAGUGUUUCUCUUGAAUCUCGGUGUUGGGUUUUUGUUUGAAUUCGUUUUUCUUGAUAUCGAUUGCAGUGGUAGCGGGUUGUGAUCGGUACGUUUUCCAGUCCAGUGCCCCUCAGUUUCUCCUUUCCACCAUUUUCCAGGUACUCUUCCUCUCCCUGUAAUCUGAGUUUUGUGCAAGUUGUUUUUGCUGAUAAUACGAUUGCAUGUGUUGUUGUCUUUCACUGAUAUUAUCAAGAAAAUCAUCUAUUUUUGUUUAUAAAUUCAAAGUUAUGGAGUUUAAUUUCUGCCAUUUAGUAUUAAUUAAUUUUUAAGUCUGCAAACAUUGGUAAUACUGAGAAAGCUACAUCUCCCAAUCUGACAGUUAUACGCAUGUCAAAUGAGAAUGUAUAUACAACGCCUGAUCAGUGCCCACUUGCAAUUUAGUUGUAUUUCAUGUACUUGCUCAUAAUUUAUUUUGAUCCUUAUUUUGAUUUGGAGGUUUAAGAAAGGGGGAGUUCGUAGGAAGUUGCACAUUUUAUUGUUGAGAUUAUAAUGUUCAGUGGUUGAGAUUAUGAGAUUAUUUUUUCAGGUGGACAAAUUUCAUGUUCAGUGGUUGCUUAAUUUUCUUUUAGUGUUGGAUGCAUUUCCGUGAAAUUUUUUCUGACUUUCCUUAUAUAUUCUUUGAUUUCUUAGUUUAUGGGUCAACCUCUUGAACUUGCUUUUUGGUGUUCUGGUUUUUGAACUAAAGAAGUUAGCUGAAUUGGGCAAGAGUUUAAGGGAAGACUAUCAAGAGCUUUCAAUAGGUAGGUUUCUGUGUAUAGACAUGUUGUCUUAGAAAAUGAAUUGCCCUAUUAUGAACAAUGCUGAUAAUUUUUUUGUUGCCCACUGGCGUGUCGGAUUUUAGGUCUUUGCUAAUUCAAUUAAUCUGCUGUCCUAUGUCUUGGAUAUUCAUUCAGUACAUGUAAUUAUGUUUUCACUUGGCUUUAGGAUGUCAAAUUUCACUAUAUUUAUUGAUAAUCAACAGGCAGAGUACCGAGAAAAAAGGCAGACUUAAUCAUGCCAGAAGAUAUACCUUGACCAUUUUGAAGGUACAGCAUAUGAUAUGUUAUCUUUUCUUUGCUGAUAUUGUGCAUCAUAUUGGAUUUAACUUUAUUGUGCAUCAUAUUGGAUGUAAGUUUUGAUUCUUUAUGUCUUAAAAAUAUGUAUCUUUCGGUGGCAUGUGAGGAAAAAGGAAAGGUAAAUAAGAAAAAACUAAUUUUUCUGUUAUCCUUUUAGACUUUAUACCUGAAUUUUUCCGUAGGUUGAAUAUUUAACCCCUUUAUUCUAAGGUAUCUGAGCCAUUUGCAGGGUGGGGAAAUGUCUUUUUGGAUUUUAUCGGAUCGAUAUCAAUUAUGAAAUUCUUCUGCUGUCUGAGGAUUCUGAAAUUUGUUUCAGGUACAAUUAUUGUAAUAGUGAAUAAGGAAGCCUUCAAGCUACAAAGUUUACUGCUCUGUAAGCAUAACAUUUCUUUGCUGCACUUUACUAUACCAAUGAUGCAAUUUACAUGCAUAUGUUGCAUGUAUGCCUGUCAUAGCCUACAUGAUGGAACAGCUACACAUCAAAUGAAGCUGACGGGUAUGUGCUCAUUGCAAUUAGGACAUUGAUUUUUGUGUAUAAGACCACAUUAGUUGCAAGGACUAUUUCUCAUUCCUUUUUUUCAUUUAAUUGUUAAUAGUCUCGAAAACGAACCAAAUAGGCAAAUAUUACUGCAUGUGGAUGUUGUGUAGCAAAGUAAACAUUACAGCAACUGCCUCAGGUGAACAUAACUUCACCUGUCUAAUUUCUGUUCCUAUCCAUGACUACCACCGACUGCCUUUUAAGCUUGCUAAGUCAACAAUUUGAAAUAAUGAUAACUGACAUGGGGGUCAUAUGAUGAAAGGGCCUAUGAGUUUAGUCCCCUUCAAACUCCAAUUCCUUUACUUUCCUUUACCUUCAGUUUGUUGUGUGCUGUGAAUUUUGAGGUCAAGAAAUCGCUUU
rnacentral:lncRNA from 1 species